CCCCCUGUACUAUGAGAUAUCUGGUCUCUCUAGGUUCCCCCUGUACUAUGAGAUAUCUGGUCUCUCUAGGUUAAUACUGUAAUGUGGUGUCUCUCUCUAGGUUCCCCCUGUACUAUGAGAUAUCUGGUCUCUCUAGGUUCCCCCUGUACUAUGAGAUAUCUGGUCUCUCUAGGUUCCCCCUGUACUAUGAGAUAUCUGGUCUCUCUAGGUUCCCCCUGUACUAUGAGA